rnacentral:rRNA from 1 species
GGUGAGUAACACGUAUCCAACCUGCCUCAUACUCGGGGAUAGCCUUUCGAAAGAAAGAUUAAUAUCCGAUAGCAUAUAUUUCCCGCAUGGGUUUUAUAUUAAAGAAAUUCGGUAUGAGAUGGGGAUGCGUUCCAUUAGUUUGUUGGCGGGGUAACGGCCCACCAAGACUACGAUGGAUAGGGGUUCUGAGAGGAAGGUCCCCCACAUUGGAACUGAGACACGGUCCAAACUCCUACGGGAGGCAGCAGUGAGGAAUAUUGGUCAAUGGACGCGAGUCUGAACCAGCCAAGUAGCGUGAAGGAUGACUGCCCUAUGGGUUGUAAACUUCUUUUAUAUGGGAAUAAAGUGGUCCACGUGUGGAUUUUUGUAUGUACCAUAUGAAUAAGGAUCGGCUAACUCCGUGCCAGCAGCCGCGGUAAUACGGAGGAUCCGAGCGUUAUCCGGAUUUAUUGGGUUUAAAGGGAGCGUAGGCGGAUUGUUAAGUCAGUUGUGAAAGUUUGCGGCUCAACCGUAAAAUUGCAGUUGAUACUGGCAGUCUUGAGUGCAGUAGAGGUGGGCGGAAUUCGUGGUGUAGCGGUGAAAUGCUUAGAUAUCACGAAGAACUCCGAUUGCGAAGGCAGCUCACUGGAGUGUAACUG